GGUUAAGCGACUAAGCGUACACGGUGGAUGCCCUGGCAGUCAGAGGCGAUGAAGGACGUGCUAAUCUGCGAUAAGCGUCGGUAAGGUGAUAUGAACCGUUAUAACCGGCGAUUUCCGAAUGGGGAAACCCAGUGUGUUUCGACACACUAUCAUUAACUGAAUCCAUAGGUUAAUGAGGCGAACCGGGGGAACUGAAACAUCUAAGUACCCCGAGGAAAAGAAAUCAACCGAGAUUCCCCCAGUAGCGGCGAGCGAACGGGGAGCAGCCCAGAGCCUGAAUCAGUAUGUGUGUUAGUGGAAGCGUCUGGAAAGGCGCGCGAUACAGGGUGACAGCCCCGUACACAAAAAUGCACAUAUUGUGAGCUCGAUGAGUAGGGCGGGACACGUGGUAUCCUGUCUGAAUAUGGGGGGACCAUCCUCCAAGGCUAAAUACUCCUGACUGACCGAUAGUGAACCAGUACCGUGAGGGAAAGGCGAAAAGAACCCCGGCGAGGGGAGUGAAAAAGAACCUGAAACCGUGUACGUACAAGCAGUGGGAGCACGCUUAGGCGUGUGACUGCGUACCUUUUGUAUAAUGGGUCAGCGACUUAUAUUCUGUAGCAAGGUUAACCGAAUAGGGGAGCCGAAGGGAAACCGAGUCUUAACUGGGCGUUAAGUUGCAGGGUAUAGACCCGAAACCCGGUGAUCUAGCCAUGGGCAGGUUGAAGGUUGGAUAACACUAACUGGAGGACCGAACCGACUAAUGUUGAAAAAUUAGCGGAUGACUUGUGGCUGGGGGUGAAAGGCCAAUCAAACCGGGAGAUAGCUGGUUCUCCCCGAAAGCUAUUUAGGUAGCGCCUCGUGAAUUCAUCUCCGGGGGUAGAGCACUGUUUCGGCAAGGGGGUCAUCCCGACUUACCAACCCGAUGCAAACUGCGAAUACCGGAGAAUGUUAUCACGGGAGACACACGGCGGGUGCUAACGUCCGUCGUGAAGAGGGAAACAACCCAGACCGCCAGCUAAGGUCCCAAAGUCAUGGUUAAGUGGGAAACGAUGUGGGAAGGCCCAGACAGCCAGGAUGUUGGCUUAGAAGCAGCCAUCAUUUAAAGAAAGCGUAAUAGCUCACUGGUCGAGUCGGCCUGCGCGGAAGAUGUAACGGGGCUAAACCAUGCACCGAAGCUGCGGCAGCGACACUAUGUGUUGUUGGGUAGGGGAGCGUUCUGUAAGCCUGUGAAGGUGUGCUGUGAGGCAUGCUGGAGGUAUCAGAAGUGCGAAUGCUGACAUAAGUAACGAUAAAGCGGGUGAAAAGCCCGCUCGCCGGAAGACCAAGGGUUCCUGUCCAACGUUAAUCGGGGCAGGGUGAGUCGACCCCUAAGGCGAGGCCGAAAGGCGUAGUCGAUGGGAAACAGGUUAAUAUUCCUGUACUUGGUGUUACUGCGAAGGGGGGACGGAGAAGGCUAUGUUGGCCGGGCGACGGUUGUCCCGGUUUAAGCGUGUAGGCUGGUUUUCCAGGCAAAUCCGGAAAAUCAAGGCUGAGGCGUGAUGACGAGGCACUACGGUGCUGAAGCAACAAAUGCCCUGCUUCCAGGAAAAGCCUCUAAGCAUCAGGUAACAUCAAAUCGUACCCCAAACCGACACAGGUGGUCAGGUAGAGAAUACCAAGGCGCUUGAGAGAACUCGGGUGAAGGAACUAGGCAAAAUGGUGCCGUAACUUCGGGAGAAGGCACGCUGAUAUGUAGGUGAAGUCCCUCGCGGAUGGAGCUGAAAUCAGUCGAAGAUACCAGCUGGCUGCAACUGUUUAUUAAAAACACAGCACUGUGCAAACACGAAAGUGGACGUAUACGGUGUGACGCCUGCCCGGUGCCGGAAGGUUAAUUGAUGGGGUUAGCCGCAAGGCGAAGCUCUUGAUCGAAGCCCCGGUAAACGGCGGCCGUAACUAUAACGGUCCUAAGGUAGCGAAAUUCCUUGUCGGGUAAGUUCCGACCUGCACGAAUGGCGUAAUGAUGGCCAGGCUGUCUCCACCCGAGACUCAGUGAAAUUGAACUCGCUGUGAAGAUGCAGUGUACCCGCGGCAAGACGGAAAGACCCCGUGAACCUUUACUAUAGCUUGACACUGAACAUUGAGCCUUGAUGUGUAGGAUAGGUGGGAGGCUUAGAAGUGUGGACGCCAGUCUGCAUGGAGCCGACCUUGAAAUACCACCCUUUAAUGUUUGAUGUUCUAACGUUGACCCGUAAUCCGGGUUGCGGACAGUGUCUGGUGGGUAGUUUGACUGGGGCGGUCUCCUCCUAAAGAGUAACGGAGGAGCACGAAGGUUGGCUAAUCCUGGUCGGACAUCAGGAGGUUAGUGCAAUGGCAUAAGCCAGCUUGACUGCGAGCGUGACGGCGCGAGCAGGUGCGAAAGCAGGUCAUAGUGAUCCGGUGGUUCUGAAUGGAAGGGCCAUCGCUCAACGGAUAAAAGGUACUCCGGGGAUAACAGGCUGAUACCGCCCAAGAGUUCAUAUCGACGGCGGUGUUUGGCACCUCGAUGUCGGCUCAUCACAUCCUGGGGCUGAAGUAGGUCCCAAGGGUAUGGCUGUUCGCCAUUUAAAGUGGUACGCGAGCUGGGUUUAGAACGUCGUGAGACAGUUCGGUCCCUAUCUGCCGUGGGCGCUGGAGAACUGAGGGGGGCUGCUCCUAGUACGAGAGGACCGGAGUGGACGCAUCACUGGUGUUCGGGUUGUCAUGCCAAUGGCACUGCCCGGUAGCUAAAUGCGGAAGAGAUAAGUGCUGAAAGCAUCUAAGCACGAAACUUGCCCCGAGAUGAGUUCUCCCUGACUCCUUGAGAGUCCUGAAGGAACGUUGAAGACGACGACGUUGAUAGGCCGGGUGUGUAAGCGCAGCGAUGCGUUGAGCUAACCGGUACUAAUGAACCGUGAGGCUUAACCUU
rnacentral:rRNA from 1 species